AAUGUUGUUGCAAUAGUAAUUGAACUUAGUACGAGAGGAACCGUUCAUUCGGAUAAUUGGUAUUUGGGCCUGCCUGAACAGGCAAUGGCCCGAAGCUAUCAUCUGUUGGAUUAUGGCUGAACGCCUCUAAGCUAGAGUCCAUGCCAGAACGCGACGAUUACUCUCUUUUCCGAUAAUUAGUUGAAUACGAAUAGAGCUUCGGUUCCUGAAUCAUGCUACGCGGGACCAUCAUGCAGGGCGGAGAGGUCUUGUGUAGUGCCUGCUAAUGUUAAUUUCAAAUAUUGGAAGAGAUAAGCCCACAAUUCAGACGACUUUAAUUGAACGGGGACUGUAGGCUGUAGAGUAGCCUUGUUGCUACGAUCAGCUGAGAUUAAGCCCACUGUUCUACAGAUUU
rfam:Lobosporangium transversale strain NRRL 3116 BCR41scaffold_40, whole genome shotgun sequence.